AUUGAACGCUGGCGGCAGGCCUAACACAUGCAAGUCGAGCGGAUGAAGGUAGCUUGCUCCUGGAUUCAGCGGCGGACGGGUGAGUAAUGCCUAGGAAUCUGCCUGGUAGUGGGGGAUAACGUUCGGAAACGGGCGCUAAUACCGCAUACGUUCUGAGGGAGAAAGUGGGGGAUCUUCGGACCUCACGCUAUCAGAUGAUCCUAGGUCGGAUUAGCUAGUUGGUGGGGUAAAGGCCUACCAAGGCGACGAUCCGUAACUGGUCUGAGAGGAUGAUCAGUCACACUGGAACUGAGACACGGUCCAGACUCCUACGGGAGGCAGCAGUGGGGAAUAUUGGACAAUGGGCGAAAGCCUGAUCCAGACAUGCCGCGUGUGUGAAGAAGGUCUUCGGAUUGUAAAGCACUUUAAGUUGGGAGGAAGGGCAGUAAGUUAAUACCUUGCUGUUUUGACGUUACCAACAGAAUAAGCACCGGCUAACUUCGUG
rnacentral:rRNA from 1 species